rnacentral:snoRNA from 1 species
AAGAUUAUAUUUUCAGGGAUCAUUUCUGUAGUUCAUUACUAGAGAAUUUUCUUUGAACAUGCAGAGCACGGGAGACACAGCAUUCUCUCCUGAGUGUGAAGGCGGCUCUUGGUGUUGCUUUGCUGUAACCGCCAUUUGCUGUUGAUCAUUCUUUCCCUUCAAGGGGAAAAGGUAGAGGAUGCAGUCUGA